CAGCGAUGGCAUGUGCCCCUCCCAC
rnacentral:piRNA from 1 species